CACCGGAAGCUGUUUUUCUCUCCAAACAAAGCCACAGAAAUGUCCUUUAAAGAGCAAAUAUUCAGCGGCUGUAUUUGUCGGCACACACACUCUUUCACCGUCACCAGAUAAUCCGGUACACCGACCUCAGGCUCACGGCCUCGGUGCUCCAGCUGUGAGUCCGUUACCGUGAACUAUGGAGCUGCACACAGCUGAUGUUAGCCAGGAAAACACUCCAGGCUGCCUUUAAUGGAGAGACGACGGUUUUCUUCCAGGAAAUGAAACCAGAAACAAAGAGGAAAGUUCCUGAAGACAAACUGUUAAAGGAGGAAACAAAGCAAACUUACAGUUUAUGCAAACAGAGCCGAAGAACAAGAAGCUCCUCACCUGGACACUAAACACGGACACACAGGUUUCCCAUUGUUUUGAAUUGGUUGGGAUGGACCUCAUCGGAAAACUGGCUGUAACAACAUCAGGACAACAGUAUAUAUGUGUCAUCACUGACUAUUUUACAAAGUGGCCACAGGUUUACCCACUUAAGACAAAGUCAGCACCAGAAGUUACAGAGUGUAUUAUAAAGUUUGUGCAUCAGUUCGAAGCCCUGAAACGAAUUCUGACUGACCAAGGCAGAGAGUUUGUCAAUUCUAUAAACAACGAAGUGUGCAAACUCAAACAUUAAAAGGAGUCUUUGUUCACCUGAUCAUCCACAAACUAAUGGGUUGGUGGAGAAAAUGAAUGGCAGCAUUCAGAGAGCCCUGAGUAAAGUUGUGGAUGGCCAUCCAAAUACCUGGGAUGAGUACCUGGAUGCUGUCAUGUUUGGGCUUCGAACAAAGAAGCAAAUAACUACCCAGUGUUCCCCCUAUUUUUUGAUGUUUGGAAGAGAGGCACGGUAUCCUUCUGAGGUUCCUGUUAUGUCAAGAAUUCCAAUUUUCCAUAAUCA